rnacentral:rRNA from 1 species
GUCCUAGCCGUAAACGUUGGGUGCUAGGUGUGGGGGGAUAUCGACCCCUUCCGUGCCGAAGCUAACGCAUUAAGCACCCCGCCUGGGGAGUACGGCCGCAAGGCUAAAAACUCAAAGGAAUUGACGGGGGCCCGCACAAGCGGCGGAGCAUGUGGCUUAAUUCGACGCGACGCGAAGAACCUUACCUGGGCUUGACAUGCGGGGCAAAAGCCGGUGAAAAGCCGGUGCCUUACGGGGCCCGCACAGGUGGUGCAUGGCUGUCGU